GCUUCGGUGGUCUAAUGGCUUAGGAUGCUCGUAUCGAAUACAAGAGAUUCGGGUUCAAAUCUCGGCCAAGGUA
rnacentral:tRNA from 1 species